CAUAACACAUAAAUAUUUUUUAUUAUUAAUUGAAAAUAUUCAAUUAUACCAUAAUAGAUAAAUAUUUUUUUAUUAUUAAUUCAAAACUGAGGACGAGACCAAUUCGCGCGAAAUGGAUCCACAGCUUCCACUCGAAGCGCAGAAUCCGGAAGCCGCAAACUUGGAACCAGACAUAGAUCCACCGUCCACGUGUCCCAACUACAAGAUUCCCCUGGAGACAGCGAAUAUAAACCUUCGUUAAACCGGAAGGACAUCGUGAAAGCUCUGGAGGUGGUGGAGAGAGACUCUGCGGCCAUUGCCGAGAGCUUCUUUUCUCUCUUCGCUUCUUUCCGCUUGGCACUUUCCGAGGUUACUGAUACCUCUGUUGAUCAUAUGCAAUGCUUCAAUGAUGCUGCUGGCCAUCUUCAAGAAUCUGGUAAAAGUACUUCUACUUUACUCACAAGACCCUAAGGUGUCCCAAAAUCCUGCAUUUUCUUCUAUUUUAGUGCCACAAGGCUUUCACUUAUUGUCACUGGCUUCAAUUUCCACAACAUUUGAGAAUAGGGAAAACUACUUUGUAUCUGUAUGUAUGCUGCACAAUGCUUCAGAUUCAGGCUUCCCCAGUUUAUGUUAUUUGUAUUGAAGUAUCACAUUUUAUUGGUUAUAGAAGCGAACCACUUUUUAUGUUACAUGAUCUUCUGAUAUCAGUUUCACAUUUUCUUUUAUCCCCUUACUUUUCAAUACAUGAUGCGACAACAAAGGGCAACCGAUAUAUAAAUUUGAUAUGCAUUUAUCAUUUCCAUUAUAUCAUUUUCUUUAUUAUUUCCUUAGUUAUUAAAUUAAACCAUUUCAUGUAUGUGUUGUAACCCAUAUGCAUGGAGAUGGAGUCGUGAUAACAGGUAGUGCUUAGAAGUAGGAGUUAGUUGGAGUCCAAUAAUAAAAACAUACUACUAGAUUGUGGAGAAUCUCAAGGGAAAUUAGUUAACCAGUAGGUUAUUUAUUUGUAUUGUGUCCAUGAGCUUUGGCUUUGGGAGGUUUGUUUACCCUCGAAGUAAACAUUUGUCUAUUUAUUCUCUUUUCAUCUAUUGUCAAGAUAGGUAGAAGAGGUAAAACCAAGGGAAGCAGAGAAUUGAGAGCUUUGUGUGAGCAGAAUAUUCUAAACUCAGGCUCUUCAAUACUUGUUACACGUUUAGCCCAGCGAAAACAUAACAAUUUGGUAUCAAAGCCGGGCAUGGUAGACCAGCGAUUUGAACAUCUCGAGUCUGAAAUUGCAAGCUUAAAGGAGGAACAAGAGAGACAGUUUAAAGAGCUUCAAGAAUCCAUGGUGGCACUUUUUGUUGCCAUCAAUGUUAAUCAUGACCAGGCUGAAGCAUCCAAUAGUCAGUUACGACGAUCUGGCGGUAGGUCGAAUGGCGGGCAAAAUUCAACUAUUGUAGCAGAAUCGAAAGGAGCUUAUCUUCCUAAAAUGGUGAAGUUGGAUUUUCCGAAAUUUAACGGUAAUGAAGACCCUACUAGUUGGAUUUGUAGAGCCGACCGAUUUUUUGAAUUUCAUCUAAUGCCAGAAGAAGAAAGGGUGCCACUUGCUUCCUUCAAUCUAGAAGGUGAUGCCUAAUUAUGGUACCAAUUGAUGAAGGAUAAUGAAGGUCUGAUCACUUGGCAAGCCUUUAAAGAUCAACUUCAUGCAAAGUAUGGUCCAACUCAAUACCAAGAUUUUUUUGGUGAUUUAAAUAAGCUACAGCAAACUUGUUCGAUUCGGGAGUAUCAAACGCAAUUUGAAAGAUUGUUAAUUCAUGUUAGGCGCUUGUUUCCGGAGCAACAAAUUGGUUGUUUCAUUAGUGGACUCAAGGAAGGGAUCAAGGUGAACGUGCAAGCCGCAAAACCCCAAACAUUAUCAUCUACUAUAGGUCUUGCUCAUUUGUAUAAAGUUGUUCAUUCUAAGAAGACAGCCGCAACAAGUGCAGACCCAAAGGAGACCUUAACUACAACAACUAGCAAUCUUGAAAGACCUAUCAAGCGAUUAUCUCCAACUGAAUUUAACGAACGAAAAGCAAAGGGUCUAUGCUUCAAUUGUAAUGAAAAAUUUGGACCAAGACACGAGUGCAAGAAGUUAUUCUUCCUUGAAGCAAAUUGCUCGGAUGAUGAAGACGAGUGAGAUUGUAAUGAAGAGGUGAUGGCAACAGAGGUCAAAGUACCUGAAAUAUCCAAUCAUGCAAUCUCGGGAGCACGAAGCCCACAAACCAUGCAAGUACAAAGCUUGAUGGGUGAAAAACGGGUAACAUCCUUGGUCUUGAUAGACUCGGGUAGUACUCACAAUUUUUUAAAUAAUGAAAUUGCCAAGAAAAUGGAAAUAGCUCCUAAUGGUAUGGGAAGGUUUGAAGUUAACAAGUGGGGGUCUUUGCAAAGGAGUAUGUAUGGUGAUCCAAAAAGUUCCCAUCAAAAGUUGAUUUCUACCUAUUGCCACUAGAAAGAUAUGAUGCAGUUUUAAGAGCUCAAUGGUUAAGCACAUUGGGCCCAAUUUUAUGGGACUUCUCAAAGCUAAACAUGACAUUCACAGUGGAUAACAAGAAAGUGGAAUUGCCAGAUUUGAAAGCACCUGAACACAAGAUUAUUAAUGAAGUGCAAUUUAACAGGGAGCUAAAAAAAGCAAAAUGGGUCAUUUGGUGCAGAUUUAUUCACUAGACAUGUGUAACCAACAUGGCACAAUGUCUCCUGAAAUUCCUAAAGAUGAUACUGAAGAAUUUAAUCAAUUGAUGCAGGCCUACACAGACUUUUUUCAAGCUCCCCAAGGACUACCUCCUCAGUGAUCUCAUGAUCACCGCAUUCCUCUUAAAGAAGGCAACGGACCAGUUUCAACCCGACUCUACCAUUAUUCACACUAUCAAAAAACAGAGAUUGAAAAAAUGGUUGCUGAGCUUCUAAAGUCAAGAGCCAUUCGGCCAAGCCACAACCCUUAUUCAUCACCAAUUCUGCUAGUUAAAAAGCAUGAUCAAUCAUGGCACAUGUGUGUUGAUUAUAAGGCUCUGAACCAGUUAACCGUGAAAGACAAAUUCCUAAUACCCAUGAUCGAUGAGUUGUUGGAUGAACCACACGGUGCAACCCUCUUCACCAAACUUGAUUUGAGAUCUGGAUAUCACCAGAUUCGAAUGAAUCCUGAUGAUAUUGAGAAAACGGUCUUUCGCACUCACCAAGGACACUAUAAAUUUUUGGUAAUGCCUUUUGGUUCGACAAAUGCUCUUUCCACUUUUCAAUCCUUAAUGAAUUCAAUUUUUAGAAAUUACCUACAUAAGUUCAUUUUCUUGUUCUUCGAUGAUAUUCUAGUGUAUAGUAAAAAUCUAGAGGAACAUUUAAAACGUAUUGAUAUUAUAUUUUCUAUUCUAAUAACACACAAAUUAUAUGUCAAAAAAGAAAAGUGCGGUUUUUGCCAAGAGGAGGUAAAGUAUUUGGGGCAUGUCAUCAAUAGCAAAGGUGUAGUAGUGGACUCUGAAAAAAUAUCAACCAUGCUCGAGUGGCCGAAACCCAAGACAAUCAAAGCUUUAAGAGGUUUUUUGGGAUUGGCCGGUUAUUACCGCAAGUUCAUACAAUAUUAUGGGAAGAUUGUAGCACCACUAACGAGCAUGUUAAAAAAGGAAAACUUUAGGUAGGAACCUAAAUCAGAGGAGACAUUUGAGAAACUCAAAAAGGUCAUGAUUGAAACACCAGUUUUAGCCUUACCAGAUUUUUCAAGGCAAUUUAUAGUGGAAUGUGAUGCCUCAGGGUCAAGGAUUGGAGCAGUGUUAAUGCAAGGAAAAAGGCCGAUUACUUUCUUUAGUCAAGCAUUACAUGGAAAAAAUUUAUUUUUAUCAACUUAUGAAAAAGAAAUGUUGGCUUUUGUACUUGGAGUACAACGUUGGAGACAUUAUUUGCUGGGCCAAAAAUUUGUUGUCAAGUAAGAUAAGCAAAGUCUAAAGUAUUUAUAGGAGCAAAAAAUUACCACUUCAGCUCAACAAAAAUGGUUAGUUCAGCUAAUGGGUUAUGACUUUGUGAUUGAGUGCAAAACUGGGAAAGAGAAUGUGGUAGCAGAUGCUUUGUGUAAAAAAGAAGAACCAGGAGAGUUACUUCCACGAUGGUUAGUUACCAUCCAAGAAGAAGUUGCUGCCAAUAGUAAAUUUCAAAAGAUGAUGCAAAAUAUUCAACAUGGUAAGGUUGUGGGACCUUAGGAUUAUAAGGAAGAAUAAAAUUUUCUUAUUAAAAGACUCUCCCUUGAUUCCUAUUAUUCUGGAAGAGUUUCACUCUAGCACACAUGAAGGCUAUCAUAAAACUCUCCAUCAAAUCAAGUCAGUUUUUAAUUGGAGCAAAAUGAGUGAAGAUUUUAAAGUACAAAUUCGUUAAUGUGAGACAUGUUAGCUACAAAAAUGGGAGAACACUUCGCCAUCAGGACUGCUAUAACCAUUGCCAAUUCCAUCUCAAACUUGGACGGAUAUCUCCAUGGACUUCAUUGAUGGAUUGUCUAACUCUAAAGGUAAGACUGUAAUUUUUGUGGUGGUGGAUCGUUUGUCUAAAUUUGCCCAUUUCAUUCCUAUCUCGCAUCCAUAUACGGCAACCUCGGUGGCACAAAUAUUCUUUGAUAAUAUAUUCAAAUGAUAUGGAAUGCCUAAAUCCAUUGUUUGUGAUCGAGAUCUAGUUUUUAUCAGUUCUUUUUGGAAUGAAUUAUUCCGUCUACAGGGAGCCAAAUUCAAUUUCUCAUCUGCUUAUUACCCCCAAACAGAUGGGCAAUCAGAGGUGGUGAACCGAACUAUCGAAAUGUAUCUUUAUUGUUUCAUGGGUGACAAGCCAAAGGAGUGGGCUCGUUGGAUUACUUGGGCAGCCUACUGUUAUAAUACUAGUGUUUAUAGUGCCAUUAAAAUGUCGCCGUUCGAAGCUGUCUAUGGCCAUGCUCCACCAACUCUCUUAUCAUAUGUGUCAAGAACUACCCAAGUUGAAUCCGUAGAGCAGGAAUUGAAAAGUAGGGAUCAUAUUUUGAAGAAAUUAACUAAACAUUUGCAAGUUGCCCAAGUAAGGAUGAAAAAAUACCAUGAUGCCCACCAAAUUGAAAGAAUUUUUAAGGUGGGAGAUUAUGUUUAUGUGCGCCUCCAGCCAUAUCGACAAAUUUCAGUAUCACUUCGAAGAAAUCUCAAGUUAGCUCCACGAUUUUACGGUCCAUUCCAAAUAGUGGAGAGGAUUGGCAAUGUGGCUUACAAGCUCAAACUUCCCACGAAAUCGAGAAUUCAUCCUGUUUUUCAUGUGUCAUACCUCAAGAAAAAGGUAGGAACGAAGGUUGAUGUGCAGGACACGCUACCAAUAAUUUUAGAAGAAGAGGAUGCGCUCUUAUCAAUACCACAAGCAGUGCAAGAUCAUCGACUGAUACAACAAAGAAAAGAGGUUCUGGUGCACUGGAAGGGAUUAUCUCCAGCUGAUGCCACAUGGGAAAACUUGGAGGACCUUAAAAGUUGAUACCCAACAAUCACCCUUAAGGACAAGGGUGAAAUUUAGGGGGAAGGAAUGAUAUGCAUUAAUCAUUUCCAUUAUAUCAUUUUCUUUAUUAUUUCCUUAGUUAUUAAAUUAAACCAUUUCAUGUAUGUGUUGUAACCCACGUGCAUGGAGAUGGAGUUGGAGUUGUGAUAACAGGUAGUGCUUAGAAGCAAGAGUUAGUUGGAGUCCAAUAAUAAAAACGUGCUACUGGCUUGUGGAGAAUCUCAAGGGAAAUUAGUUAACCAGCAGGUUAUUUAUUUGUAUUGUGUCCAUGUAAUUGGGGUAUGAAAUUUAUGAAAUUAAGCUUUGGCUUUGGGAGGUUUGUUUAGCCUCGAAGUAAACAUUUAUCUAUUUAUUCUCUUUUCAUCUAUUGUCAAGAUAGAUAAAAGAGAUAAAACCAAGGGAAGCAAAGAAUUGAGAGCUUUGUGUGAGCAGAAUAUUUUAAACCCAGACUCUUCAAUACUUGUUACACAUUCAACCCAGCAAAAACAUAACAAAAUUCAUGUCUUAGGUAUCUUUCAUUCUCUACUUUAAGGCUUUUGAUUAAUAAGUGAGUAUUAAAAUUAGUUCUUAUAAUUGAAAGUUGGAAAUGUACUGAAAUUUUGAUCCAAAAUGUUCAAACCAAGACGUUGAGUCAUAAGUUUUGAAUUUCGUAAUUUUGGUUAUUUCUCCCAUAUCAAACAUGGAUUUAACUUUCGCUCUGAGUAGAGGCAACUUCGUGUAUCUGUUUAUGGCUUCAUUUUCACUUUUUUCUGUCUGGAUUGGGACCUGGUUAUUUAGAGAUGACUUCCAUCUACUGGCCCUCAAAUUCACAAUAUGCUGUUUGUUAUUUUAACUUCUUCUCUUGUCAAUGUAAAUUUGCAAUUUUGCAGGUUUAGACAUCUGCAAUAUCUUAAGCCACGUAUUACUAUCUGAAUAGGAAAUUAUCUUGUGAAGUUGCUGUAAAAAAUGCAAAUGCCAACUGUUAUGGCAAAGAAGAGCUGCUGACAGUUGACAUUCAGAUGCAAAUUGAAAUGCUUAGUAGUUAGUAACAACUAUGAAGGGUCUUAGAGACCUUUGACACAUUCUAUUGCAAUCUUGGAGGGAGAAUUACAAUAUCCAAACUCAUGCUUAUAUAUAAGGAUAUGUUUUGCUUGUUGAAUAUGGCCUGACCGAUGUUCAUUUGCAGAUUAAAUAAGGAAAUGAAAGGCAUUGACAGUCUAGCUGUACAACUAAAAUUGCUGAGGAGAAAUGUAGAUGCUUUAGACACAGCUGUGAACAGGCUCAUCCGUUUUCCAUGAUGUUGAUCUGCUCGUGUAAUUGGUUGCAUCAACAAGAGAAAUGUUGUACAAAUUAAAGCAGAAGCCACUGAACUUGGAUGUGAAGAUGCUUCAACGGUGGAAAAUGCUGAAACCCAUUAUUGAAGUUUGCCAUGGAUUUAGGUUACGUUUGAAAGUCCACAAUAGGCUCGUCCGUAAGCAAAUGCAUUGGCAUCGACAAUUGCCAUUUUAAGAAGCCAAACUUGAGUUUUUCCAUUAUAAUGAUAACUAAGUUAAAUUAAAGCCAGUGAACAUGGGUGUGAAGAUGCUUCAACAAUGGGCAAUACUGGAACCGGCAAUUAAAGUGACUACCAUGGUUCACACUUGAAAAUCCAGAAGAAGCCCACCAGCCCAUUGACAAGGUCAAUUUUAUACAUUAUCUGGCAUCAACCCAGAGAGCUCAAGUUGAAUAAGGAUCAGCUCUUCGAGCUUGAGCUCAAUACCGACAUUGGAGUUUGUCUCGGUGAUUUUUUUCCUUCAAUUAUAGUUACUUUUUUUUUUGUAUGACUCUUUCUUCUCUAACAUUAUUAUUUACCAGCUCAAAUGAGCCAAAU